AGAGAUGGCUAAGAAGUCCCGCACUCAAAAGUUUCUGCAAGAGUUUAAAAUUGUUCCCUUUUCCUUUUGCUAAAGAAGAAGACAGGAAUAUCAAUAAUUAUAGCUUGGGGGACCGGUGCUGUUUAACAAAGUCAUGGCAUUUUUAAAACAGCAAAUUGAAGCUGUUCUAGCAAAGCCUAUUCAAGUGCAUUACCAUCAUUUGGAAAUGUUAGACAAGGGUGGCCCACUCCCCAACUCGCCUGAGUGAUAAGACCCCCUUCCUUUGUGUGCUGGGCUGGACAGUCAAUGACGGGUAAGAUCAGGCACUGUUCAUACCAACCUAAGGCAGGCCCUGGUUUGCCAGAAUGUAAUUAAAGGCAUUCCUCGAGACCCAUGAUGGGUAAGGAUGAAUCAGUGACAUGACAACCUAAGACAGACGCAGUCCCCUAAAGGAUAUUCCAAACUUCAUUGCACGAAUACUUUGUGCUCGCUAUUAUUAAAAAAAAAAGGUGGACAUGUGGGAGUCUGCACGUCCCUCAGCCCAUGGCCUCCUCCGCCGCCGCUGUUGGGUUUGGGGGAGGAGUGCUCGGACAUUCAAUCACCGCCACCAAUGAUUUGGCUGCCCGCCUCCAAGAAGCUAUAGACGUCUCCGCAGAGUCCCUGGCAUCUCUACAACGACAGAUUACCUCCAUAGCCCAAGUCGCUCUGCAAAACCAACGUGCAUUGGACCUCAUCACAGCAGAAAAA